AAUGGGAUUACUAAGCUUGUUUUUAUUCUCAUUAAUUAGUUUUAUUUUUCAGGGAGUUUCUGUCUUAGUAAUGGGAUUUUACUUCGGUUAAGUUUGGUGCCAGCAUCCGCGGUUAUACUUUGGAGGUGUCUAAAUGUGUUUGGCGUGGUAUAAUAGUUAUAUUUGUAGUUUUUGUUGGUGAAUAAUUUGGUUUAUUUUAGGUGAAAUUUUUAUUUGUUUUUGUUGCUUUGAUCAUUUUGGAGGCUAUGAAAUUUAUUGUGUAGACUAGGAUUAGAUACCCUAUUAUUUUUGAAUGUAAAGGUUUUAGUGUGCCCGAGUAGUAUUAGUUGUGUUCUUGAAACUUAAAGAAUUUGGCGGUACCCUAUUCCGUUCAGAGGAAUCUGUGUCGUUAUCGAUAGUCCACGUUGGACCUUACUUAGUUUAUUGUUAAUGUUUGUAUACCGCCGUUUAUUUGAUUAUCCUUUUAGGGCUGGUUUUAAUUUUCUGGUUUCUUGUUUGUGGAUUUAUUUCAGGUCAAGGUGCAGCUUGUUUCUAAGUGUUCAUGGAUUACAUUGGUAUUGGCUUAUUGAAUUGUUAUCUUGAUUUGUUUACAUGAAAUUGGAUUUGAUUGUAAUGUUUUGUAGACUGUUUUCGUGAUAUUUGGUUCUGGGGUAUGCACACAUCGCCCGUCGCUCUCGCUGUCCGGUGAGAUAAGUCGUAACAAAGUGGCCGUACCGGAAGGUGUGGCUGGAUUGAU
rnacentral:rRNA from 1 species